rnacentral:lncRNA from 1 species
GGUAAGUGAAGGGCCCCACUAUGGCAUCCAGUGGCCCGUACGGGGAUCGAACCCGCGACCUUGGCGUUAUUAGCACCACGCUCUAGCCGACUGAGCUAACCGGCCACACGAAUGCGCUGCUGUUUUAAAGGAAACCAUAUAUAAAUUCGUUGAUAUUUUUGUUUUUCUAAAUAAAACAGAACUUUUUUCUUUCUUACUCCUUUCAAGAGACCUUUGAGACUAUAUUUACAGACUUUAGCAAGGAAGUCCAAACUAUUUUAACUCUGAGCCAGACUAGAAAAUUCACGGAGAAAUUUUUGACAGAGGAUGUGGAAAAAGCGCUGUAAUAGGAUUUUCAAUGGUGAGUGAAGGGAACCUCCUCUUUUUAUUUUAUUUUUGUUGUUGUUAGACAACAAAUUUUUUUUUUUGAACGGCACUGCUCCUUGCGGAGUAUGGCUAAUUCAAAGGCAGUACGCCCAGAGUCGGCAGCCUUCUCUUUUUAGAGUCAUGUCAGUGUACUGGAUCGCAAGUUGCAAACUUCCCUUUAGUGACUUGUAACUUAAGGACUUAUUAUUUUCAGGUUGGUUCAAGACAACGCCGCCGAAAGGAAGGCGAAUGGGGUUGAGGGAAAGAGCCGCGCCUUCUCAGUGUCUCUGAAGUCACAAACAUAAGCACUGAUGUAAUCGGCGAAGAUAUUCAGGGGUGGAAACUGAGGUAGCCCAGCAGUACCGGAAUUACAUAGUAAAUCUGGUAUGUUUUUUGAGGGUGGUAGAAAAGGGCUACAGAGGUUUGCAGAAGGGCAAGGUUGUGGUGGCACCCCGCUAGGUAUUAAGUCUCAUUUAACAGCACUUGCUGUGUGUCACUCAAAUUCUAACUUGGGAACCGAAGGAUUUCAGCCCGAGUUGGAGAGGCCAGAAUAAGUGAGAUACGCUCUUUCAUCCUUGGUCAGGCUACUGGUUUCAUCACCUGGAGACAAGUUGAAAGAAACCUCCUGCAGCGUCAGGAACUAUCUCUCUACAUGUGCCUGGGGUUUCCUUCGUGUUUUUGGAACUUUCAAGAUCACUGACGCCUAAUAAACUUUUAACGAAUAUAUUAGCAGUUAAAUGAAUCAGCAAGUAACGAUUUUGUUGAUUCUAAAACUGACGCUGGCGCGAGGAAGUGUUGGAAUUCCAGUGUUACUCUUAAUGUAUUCAACGGUUAAAGACCGAAGUACCACCAGGAGCUUCGAUGUUUUUCAUUCUUCUAGUCCUCAAGAGGUUUUAUCCUAGGUGUCAAGAACUGAGGCUUCUACUUGCUCAAAAAUCACCUGAAAGUAAACUCUCUGAUACAGUUCCUGCAGUAACACAUCCUCUUCACCGGUCGCAAGGAAUUACAUUCUGGCUUUUGAGGAUCCCUCUUGCACAUUCUGACUGGUGUUUAUAUACCUCCGAAGUUCACAUGUAAAGCCAUACCAAGGGAAUGAACUUGUCAUAUAUGACAUCAACACCGGAAGGAUUACCCUUUUUUCUCCUUCAGAUAAAUGGGAGCUAAUCUUCUAACAUUCCUGUACUCUGUCCUGAGGCUUGUUGGUAGGCAGAGCUCUUCAUGCUGUCCUGACUCUAACAGCACCAGCCUGGGUACUUGCUCUUUCUUUUGUAACGAAAACCAAAUACUAUUGAAGAAAAUCUGCACCUGGGACUAGAGAAAUCACAUUUUUUGCUAGUAACACCUAAGAUUAAAAUCUGUUCUUCUACCCCACCCCCACCUUCAAUUGUGUUUCCCGGAUCCAAAAACCGUAUUAUUCUUUACUUUGCUUCAAAUGAAAUACUAUGUGUUAACGUUACCAGCAGUAAUUCCAGACAAAAAGAGGAGUUCAAUACAAGGUUUUCUGUCCUUCCUUAACCGUAAACAUGAUAUAAAAUGAGGAUCAAAUCUCCGUUAAUCCUAGAUCCUAACUAUCCCCAUAUCCUCCUCAGAGACUAUCGAAUUUCUUACUUUCUUAUCUUCCCUAAAAUAAUCUAUGCAUAAUCAAGCAUAUCAUUACUAUCUUCACCUGCAUUAUAGGCAACACAGCGGAACAUCUGUCACAAGUGUCUUUAGAGACGGGGUUUCACCAUGUUGUCCAGGCCGCUAUCGAACUCCUGACCUCAGGUGAUCCGGCCGCCUCAGCCUUCCAAAGUGUUGGGAUUACCGGCAUGAGCCACCGAUCUUGACCAUCAGAGUCGACAUGUACAAAAGAGUCCGGAAA